AGGCAAUGCUUCUGGUAGAAUAUUUAUUAAGCAAACAGGUGUUAAGUAUCAAUCCCUCUAUUUCUUGGUUAUUUGGGCCUUAGUUCUUAUAAUUUCUAGUAGCUAAAAGUAAAUGGUCCUUAUUUUCCACCAAGGAUUAAUCCCUCUAAUUUAAGGUCUGGUUUUAUAUGACAUGAAAUUAUUGACCUAUAAUUGGGGUGGUGAUGGUGAGGUCUAGAUUCCCGACAAAGGCAAGGGAUGGGUCAUGAAUUGUGAUAGAACAAAGUCAGCAAACUGUGUGGGAUCCCACAUUGGAUGACAUAUGAUUAUAUGACUGAAUCCGCCCCCAACCUAUAACUUCCCUGUAAAAAACUCAAUUACGCACAACUAUAGGAACUAAAGGCACCCUUAGACCAUGUAUAUUUAUCAGUGACUCAUAGAAUGGCCUGAUUUCAUUACUAUUAGCGUAAACAUAAUGAAGCUGUCUACAUCGUACAAGUGAUUGAAAAAUGAAGCAAUGCUAUCCUUUCCUUUUCCUCUCUCUUAGCGGCACAUUCG
rnacentral:lncRNA from 1 species